UACGUAGGGACCGAGCGUUGUCCGGAAUCAUUGGGCGUAAAGAGCGUGUAGGCGGCCACUUAAGUCCUGCGUGAAAUCUUGCGGCUCAACCGCAAGCGGUCGUGGGAAACUGGGUGGCUAGAGUGCGGGAGAGGAGAGUGGAAUUCCUGGUGUAGCGGUGGAAUGCGCAGAUAUCAGGAGGAACACCGAUGGCGAAGGCAGGUCUCUGGGCCACUACUGACGCUGAGAAGCGAAAGCAUGGGGAGCGAAUAGG
rnacentral:rRNA from 1 species